rnacentral:rRNA from 1 species
GAUUAACGCUGGCGGCGUGCCUAACACAUGCAAGUCGAACGAGGUAGCAAUACCUAGUGGCAGACGGGUGAGUAACACGUGGUCAACCUACCGUUGAGUGGGGGAUAACUAGCCGAAAGGUUAGCUAAUACCGCAUACGUCUCCGAGUGGCAUCACUUGGCGAUAAAAGGAGCAAUCCGCUCGAUGACGGGACCGCGUCCCAUUAGCUAGAUGGUGGGGUAACGGCCUACCANGGCUCCGAUGGGUAGCUGGUUUGAGAGAGCGACCAGCCACACUGGGACUGAGAAACGGCCCAGACUCCUACGGGAGGCAGCAGUGAGGAAUUUCCGCAAUGGGCGCAAGCCUGAUGAUGCCACGCCGCGUGGAGGAUGAAGGUCCUCUGGAUUGUAAACUUCUUUUAUUUGGGAAGAAAUGUGGAAAUUCUUUUCUACUUGACGGUACCAGAUGAAUAAGCACCGGCUAACUCCGUGCCAGCAGCCGCCGUAA